AAACGCGAUAUGGGGUGCUCCAUUUUGUAACGGAUACACAGCACGGCGCUGUGAUCUGGAGCUGAGAUAUACCCAUUGAACCUGCUCUAGUUAGAACUAGCGAAGGGAUAUCGAACCGUGGCAGA
rnacentral:ncRNA from 2 species